GGGGAUGUCAGGUUUCGACAGGGGGUGCGGAGCAGACGCUGCAAGUCGAGGUGCCGGUACGAGGUCUCGCUAAACAACCGGCAACGGCAUAACUGCCAACAACAACUACGCUUUCGCUGCUGCUUAACCAGUAGCGACGCCUAACCGACCUUUCGCCGGCGGGUCGGGGACGGUGCCAUUUAGCCGGCAGUGCGAUAGGGACGAGCGCUCAUAGGACCUAUCUAAGAUCAUGAGCUUGCCGGCGAAGACUUUGUCAGUAGGGGAUUGGCCGGCGAGAUUAACAUACUGACUACGCUUGUAGAUGUGUCUGUGGCCAACCUUUUGGACGGGGCGUUCGACUCGCCCCCAUCUCCACCA
rnacentral:tmRNA from 1 species